UGGGGAAUAUUGCACAAUGGGGGAAACCCUGAUGCAGCGACGCCGCGUGAACGAAGAAGGUAUUCGUAUCGUAAAGUUCUGUCCUAUGGGAAGAUAAUGACAGUACCAUAGAAGAAAGCUCCGGCUAAAUACGUGCCAGCAGCCGCGGUAAUACGUAUGGAGCGAGCGUUGUCCGGAAUUAUUGGGCGUAAAGGGUACGCAGGCGGUUUAAUAAGUCGAAUGUUAAAGAUCGGGGCUCAACCCCGUAAAGCAUUGGAAACUGAUAAACUUGAGUAGUGGAGGGGAAAGUGGAAUUCCUAGUGUAGGAGUGAAAUACGUAGAUAUUAGGAGGGAUACCAGUAGCGAAGGCGACUUUCUGGACACAAACUGACGCUGAGGUACGAAAGCGUGGGGAGCAAACAGG
rnacentral:rRNA from 1 species